rnacentral:pre_miRNA from 1 species
AUAUUACUCCCUCCGUCCAGAAAUACUUGUCGGAGGAAUGGAUGUAUCUAGACGUAUUUUAGUUUCAGAUACAUCCUUUUUUAUCCAUUUCUCCGACAAGUAUUUCCGGACCGAGGGAGUACUAC